rnacentral:lncRNA from 1 species
CCAGUGGCCAUUACUGCCCUCCCCUGGCAUCUGCCCCUCUGCCCUGUCCCCCGGGAACCCACGGGAGCAGCACCUUCGCGAAGCACUUAGAGGAUUGCCAGCCCUGUCCUGCCGGUACCUUCAACCAUCUUCCUGCUCAGGCUGCCUGUUUCCCCUGCGGCAGCUCUUCUUCCUCCCAGCCUGGUGCUACCAGCUGUACCUGCCGUGGGCUGAACCGGGCUUUCCAGCAGUCAGAUGCCUCCUGUAUCUGCCAGGCUGGGUACGUUUACUACGAUGAGAGAGGCAAGAAAGACCCUGAUGGCAACAGCGAUCAGGACUGCCGACCUCAGGUAAAGCCUGGCUUCAAAACAAAGUUGUGUGACCCA